rnacentral:lncRNA from 1 species
CCCCCUCCAAAAGUAUUACAAACUAGACCGACUCCAUCUGUGCUUUUUGUCACAAAUAGUCUAAAACAUCAAAAAGUUCUUCUGCUUGUACUAAGACUUUCUGUUUACACCAAAAUAAUAAAGAGCUAUACAAUUCAUCUUGAAAUUCUGCAAAUUGUUCUUCUUGCCCUCAAAACAUCUUUGAUUCCUUUCUUUCCAUACUGUCCACCAUAUACAUGCUGGGACAAUCCUCCAUCUCUCCUCCUUAAUUGUAGUAUUGCCAAUAUUGAUCCAACAAUUUAGGAGUUGUGCUAUGUUUCUUGGUUUCACCCAAGUGAUCUUUCUAAGGCUGCUGAAUAUUCUCCAUAAUUGAUCUGUCCAUUUGCAAUGCAAAAAGAGAUGGUUGACUGUCUCUUCCUGUUCCUCACACAAAUAGCAUCUUGAGCAUAGUUGGAACUUCCUCUUCUUUAUAUUCUCUUGUGUCAGCACUGCUUCCUUUGCUAGUAACCAUGUGAAACAGUUUACCUUGUAUGGGAUUUUAGGUCUCCAUAUCAUCCGCCAUGGCCAUAGCUCCAUCCUAUCAUUUGAAUUUGAUUGAUUAAGAUCUUUGUAAGCUGACUUGACACUGAAAACCCCUUUGCUACCAAUCUUCCACACAACCUUGUCUUCUUCCCUAGUCAAAUUGCUAAAUUGUGCCAGUGUAUCAUGGAAGGCCACUAUGUUCCCCAUCUCCCAAUCAUUUAGAUUCCUCCUAAGAUGUAAGUUCCACCCCUGUCCUGUCCACAUUUCAGCCACAGUUGCAUUUUGUUGAAGGCUUAGUGUAUAUAAGUCUAGGAAUAAUUGUUACAGGGUUCUUUGGGCUACUAGUGUAUAUAAGUCUGGGAAUAAUUGUUUCAGGGUUCUUUGGGCUAUCCAUCUGUCCUCCCAAAAUGACACCUUCAUUCCAUUACCCACCUGGAAUCUGAUUCUAGAAAGAAACAGAGGCCAAAGAUUUCUUAUUGAUCUCCAGAUACCACAUCCAUAUGGUGUAGUUACCAUCUUUGUCAUCCACCUAUUCUCCAUUUCAUAUUUUGCCCUGAUCACCUCUCUCCAUAGCAUAUUCUCUCCUGUCAUAAACUUCCAAAGCCAUUUUAGCAUUAGGCUUUUGUUUUGUUUCUUCACGUUCCUGAUCCUAGUCCCCCCUCUUUCUUAUUUUUUAUGACCUCUUCCCACUUGACUAGAUGAAACUUCUUUUUAUAUUCAUUUCCCUGCCAAAAAAAAAUUCUUCUCAAAGCAUCUAUCCUCUGUAUGACAUUGUCUGGUGCUGGGAACACAGACAUCAUAUAAGCAGGUAUUGCAUCUAGCACACUAUUAACCAUGGUUAAUCUACCUUCCCUAGACAGAUAUUGGCUCUUCCAGUUGGUAAGCUUCUUUUCGCAUUUUUCUAUCACUCCAUUCCAUAUCCUUAUUGAUUUGCUCUUUCCCCCCAAUGGCAUACCUAGGUAUAUGGUUG